UACGUAGGGAGCAAGCGUUGUCCGGAUUUAUUGGGCGUAAAGAGCUCGUAGGCGGUUUAGAAAGUCAGGUGUGAAACCUCCAGGCUCAACCUGGAGACGCCACUUGAUACUUCUAUGACUUGAGUUCGGUAGGGGUAAGCGGAAUUCCUGGUGUAGCGGUGAAAUGCGCAGAUAUCAGGAGGAACACCGAUGGCGAAGGCAGCUUACUGGGCCGAAACUGACGCUGAGGAGCGAAAGCGUGGGGAGCGAACAGG
rnacentral:rRNA from 1 species